GGAAGGAUCAUUAUCCUUUAGCAUGUAUUUGUAAACUUUUUUACAUUUGCGCUGCUUCAAAAAUUAAAUGCACAACGACUGCUACGCUAUCGUACAGUUGUUAUUUUGCAAAAUCCACGCCUAGCACUCGCGAACGUGGUCGGGUACCUAAACAGCUUAAGCGGUUGGUUUUCAACUAGCCGUGUGGCGUAAAGAUUAUUCUACUCUAAUGUAGCGUAACGCCUGUUUAGCAACAAAAAUUAUCUCAUUUUUAAAUCGCAUUUAUUUUAGUUGUGUGUGAUAUUGAAACCUUUUAGUGCUCUAUGGCAAUAAAAGAAAUUUAACACAAAAACACAACCCUAUGCGGUGGAUCACUUGGCUCGCGAGUCGAUGAAGAGCGCAGCAAACUGCGUGAAUUAAUGUGAUUUGCAGGACACAUUGAUCAUCGAUAUCUUGAACGCACAUUGCGGUUACGGAUUACUUCCGUGACUACGCCUGUCUGAGGGUCGGUAUACUUGUGUAAACAUGUCAAGUGAUGGCACUAGCUAACACUUGCUCGGUUGUUAAGACUUAAAACCUCUUAUCGACUUAGAUCUAUUACUACUGACACUUAAAAGUUAGUUGUAGUGCACAAUGUCAAAUCAUUGUUGCUGUUUCUGGCUUGCUAAUAGCAAAUAAAAUUGCUUAGAUUACUAAAAUACUUAUUAUUUUGCUAAUUGGCAUGUCCUUAAUUUGAAACAGCGACACUAGAGUGAAUUGACAAGUUACUGUGUAAUGAAAUUAUUUAUCAUCAUUUUUCGACCUCAGAUCAGACGAGAUUACCCGCUGAAUUUAAGCAUAUUAAUAAGCGGAGGAAAAGAAACUAACCAGGAUUCCUUUAGUAACGGCGAGUGAACAAGGAAAAGCCCAUCACCGAAUCCUUCUUGGUACACAGGAAAGGAGUUGUGGUGUAAAGGACAGUUUUCGUUAUAUUGUCGUCGUUCCGAGUUCUCUUGAAUGGGGCUUUCCCACAGCGGGUGUCAGGCCUCUAGUGAACGAAUGACUUUGUAACUUUUAUUGUCCCGAGAGUCGGGUUGCUUGAGAUCGCAGCUCUAAGACGGGUGGUAUACUCCAUCCAAGGCUAAAUACAGUCGCGAGACCGAUAGCGAACAAGUACCGUGAGGGAAAGUUGAAAAGAACUUUGAAGAGAGAGUUAAAUAGUACGUGAAACCGUAUAGGGGUAAACGGGUGGAAGCGCUAAAUCAGCUCGAAGAAUUCAGAUCAUCAUUAGCUCGUUAUGUGAUGCACUGCAUAGUAUCUGCUAGUAGUGUUUGCUAUCACGUUCAAUGAUGGUUGCACUUUUUUCGAAUUGAGCGCCUCGACAGAUUGUUGUGGACUUUCAAAGGCUUGGAUUCGGUACCGCGACACUGUUGCGAACUUAUAAAUCCAGGCUCAUGAGUUCACGGCGAUCUUGGACUGCAAGCGAAAGAAGUAUCAGCGCAAGCGAGAUAGGCGUUUAUGUAGUGGCUGUCGAAUUGGGCGAUACUCCCUGGCGAGUUCGUUCUAACCGGGUUGCUACACUCUGCGUCUUUUCUCAUGGUACUUUAGUCCGAGGCGAACGGUCGUACGUCUACCCGACCCGUCUUGAAACACGGAUCAAGGAGUCUAGCAUGUGCGCGAGUCAUUGGGUUUUACGAAACCUAAAGGCGAAAUGAAAGUGAAGGCAAGCACUAGUUUGCUUAGGUGUGAUCCAGAUGGCAACAUUUGGCGCAACACCGUCCGGUCACGAUUUCUUAGAAAUGUGGCUGCGAAAGAGCGUACACGCUGGGACCCGAAAGAUGGUGAACUAUGCCUGAGCAGGAUGAAGCCAGAGGAAACUCUGGUGGAGGUCCGCAGCGAUUCUGACGUGCAAAUCGAUCGUCAAACUUGGGUAUAGGGGCGAAAGACUAAUCGAACCAUCUAGUAGCUGGUUCCCUC
rnacentral:misc_RNA from 1 species